GAUGAAGAACGUAGCGAAAUGCGAUAAGUAGUGUGAAUUGCAGAAUUCAGUGAAUCAUCGAAUCUUUGAACGCACAUUGCGCCCUUUGGUAUUCCAAAGGGCAUGCCUGUUCGAGCGUCAUUUGUACCCUCAAGCUUUGCUUGGUGUUGGGCGUCUUGUAUCUAGCUUUGCUGGAGACUCGCCUUAAAGUAAUUGGCAGCCGGCCUACUGGUUUCGGAGCGCAGCACAAGUCGCACUCUCUAUCAGCAAAGGUCUAGCAUCCAUUAAGCCUUUUUUUCAACUUUUGACCUCGGAUCAGGUAGGGAUACCCGCUGAACUUAAGCAUAUCAAUAAGCGGAGGA
rnacentral:misc_RNA from 1 species